AAGACACUGUUGGGGCAGGAUGAUUAAAAACUGUUUUGACGCCAAUUGGAGCUUGCUAUACGCAAGAAAGUCUAGCCUAUUUCGGGUGUUUUUUUUCUCCAUGAGACAAGGCGGUUAUAUAGACUUGAACAGG
rnacentral:snoRNA from 13 species